GGUGGGAGGGGGUGUCCCUCAGCCCAGAUUACGAGAGAGGGCAGGCCAGGCUGAGAGACGCCACUGGUGCAUG
rnacentral:pre_miRNA from 1 species